AACGAACGCUGGCGGCAGGCUUAACACAUGCAAGUCGAGCGCCCCGCAAGGGGAGCGGCAGACGGGUGAGUAACGCGUGGGAACGUACCUUUUGGUUCGGAACAACUCCGGGAAACUGGAGCUAAUACCGGAUAAGCCCUAACGGGGAAAGAUUUAUCGCCGAAGGAUCGGCCCGCGUCUGAUUAGCUAGUUGGUAAGGUAACGGCUCACCAAGGCGACGAUCAGUAGCUGGUCUGAGAGGAUGAUCAGCCACACUGGGACUGAGACACGGCCCCGACUCCUACGGGAGGCAGCAGUGGGGAAUAUUGGACAAUGGGCGGAAGCCUGAUCCAGCCAUGCCGCGUGAGUGAUGAAGGCCUUAGGGUUGUAAAGCUCUUUUGUCCGGGAAGAUAAUGACUGUACCGGAAGAAUAAGCCCCGGCUAACUUCGUG
rnacentral:rRNA from 1 species